UACGUAGGUCCCGAGCGUUGUCCGGAUUUAUUGGGCGUAAAGCGAGCGCAGGCGGUUAGAUAAGUCUGAAGUUAAAGGCUGUGGCUUAACCAUAGUAUGCUUUGGAAACUGUUUAACUUGAGUGCAGAAGGGGAGAGUGGAAUUCCAUGUGUAGCGGUGAAAUGCGUAGAUAUAUGGAGGAACACCGGUGGCGAAAGCGGCUCUCUGGUCUGUAACUGACGCUGAGGCUCGAAAGCGUGGGGAGCAAACAGGAUUAGAUACCCUGGUAGUCCACGCCGUAAACGAUGAGUGCUAGGUGUUAGGCCCUUUCCGGGGCUUAGUGCCGCAGCUAACGCAUUAAGCACUCCGCCUGGGGAGUACGACCGCAAGGUUGAAACUC
rnacentral:rRNA from 1 species